rnacentral:rRNA from 1 species
GAUGAACGCUGGCGGCGUGCCUAAUACAUGCAAGUCGAGCGAACGGACGAGAAGCUUGCUUCUCUGAUGUUAGCGGCGGACGGGUGAGUAACACGUGGAUAACCUACCUAUAAGACUGGGAUAACUUCGGGAAACCGGAGCUAAUACCGGAUGAUAUUUUGAACCGCAUGGUUCAAAAGUGAAAGACGGUCUUGCUGUCACUUAUAGAUGGAUCCGCGCUGCAUUAGCUAGUUGGUAAGGUAACGGCUUACCAAGGCAACGAUGCAUAGCCGACCUGAGAGAGUGAUCGGCCACACUGGAACUGAGACACGGUCCAGACUCCUACGGGAGGCAGCAGUAGGGAAUCUUCCGCAAUGGGCGAAAGCCUGACGGAGCAACGCCGCGUGAGUGAUGAAGGUCUUCGGAUCGUAAAACUCUGUUAUUAGGGAAGAACAUAUGUGUAAGUAACUGUGCACAUCUUGACGGUACCUAAUCAGAAAGCCACGGCUAACUACGU